UGGGGAAUAUUGCACAAUGGGCGCAAGCCUGAUGCAGCCAUGCCGCGUGUAUGAAGAAGGCCUUCGGGUUGUAAAGUACUUUCAGCGGGGAGGAAGGGAGUAAAGUUAAUACCUUUGCUCAUUGACGUUACCCGCAGAAGAAGCACCGGCUAACUCCGUGCCAGCAGCCGCGGUAAUACGGAGGGUGCAAGCGUUAAUCGGAAUUACUGGGCGUAAAGCGCACGCAGGCGGGUUGUUAAGUCAGAUGUGAAAUCCCCGGGCUCAACCUGGGAACUGCAUCUGAUACUGGCAAGCUGGAGUAUCGUAGAGGGGGGUAGAAUUCCAGGUGUAGCGGUGAAAUGCGUAGAGAUCUGGAGGAAUACCGGUGGCGAAGGCGGCCCCCUGGACGAAGACUGACGCUCAGGUGCGAAAGCGUGGGGAGCAAACAGG
rnacentral:rRNA from 1 species